rnacentral:rRNA from 1 species
GCUUACGGCCAUACCACCUUAGGCACGCCCGAUCUCGUCUGAUCUCGGAAGCUAAGCAGGGUCGGGGCCUGUUAGUACUUGGAUGGGUGACCGCCUGGGAAUACCAGGUGCUGUAAGCA